UACGGGGGGGGUAAGCGUUGUUCGGAAUUACUGGGCGUAAAGGGUCUGUAGGUGGCUUGCUAAGUCAGACGUGAAAUCCCUCAGCUUAACUGGGGAACUGCGUCUGAGACUGGCGAGCUUGAGUGCAGGAGAGGAACGCGGAAUUCCAGGUGUAGCGGUGAAAUGCGUAGGUAUCUGGAGGAACACCGGUGGCGAAGGCGGCGUUCUGGACUGUAACUGACACUGAUGAACGAAAGCCAGGGGAGCAAACGGG
rnacentral:rRNA from 1 species